CGACUACUUCUCUGGGGCUUCGCUUGUGGACCAGAAGGAUGGUGUGAUACGAACACGGCUGUGCCUCUUCCUUCUCAGUGAAGUCGAAGACAAUGUGGGGCGCUCUUCGUGAUCUCAGAGAGUUUGAAGACAUUAAGAUAAUUGGCAUAAUGUAUCCUACUGGCUACUGGCUUUCUAACCACACAGCCAGACAGAGACAUAAAGAGGAGCAGCAAAAGCAAAGCAGGGAGAUUAGCAGUGCCAGCCAAUAACUGAUAUCAUCCAGGAAAGGUUACUUUGGAAUAUUGUCUCUGCUGCCUGGAAUUAGCAUGUUAGCACGACAUCCAGGAGGCUGUCAUACAAGCAACAGUGUCUUCAGACAGAGGUCUCUUCAGAGCCGUUGAAAUACUGACUGCUACUGCAGAUCCUUCCUGCCUCUCUGUGGAUACUUUCAUCAUAUGAGCUGCAACAUUUAAUUUCCCUUUGGGGAAAAUAAAUCAUUUUUGAGCAAAAUCGAGCUGUUCACUAUUGUUCUGAUGAAAUUAAACUUUUCCUUCCUCUUCACAAUUAUUUUCUAGAAUUUGCUGUCUGUCACAAAAACCCAACAGGACACUUUAAGAUUUAUCGUUGUAACGUGGCAAAAUAUGAAAAAACAAACAAAAA